rnacentral:rRNA from 1 species
GACGAACGCUGGCGGCGUGCUUAACACAUGCAAGUCGAACAGUGGCGAACGGAUGAGUAAGACGUGAGUAACCAGCCCUCCACUUUGGGAUAACUCCGAGAAAUCGGGGCUAAUACUGGAUAGUGGGGGAUGGGCUGGGGGCCUAUCAGUUUGUUGGUGAGGUAGUGGUCACCAAGGCGUGACGGGUAGCCGGCCUGCGGGGGCGACCGGCCACAAUGGGACUGAGACACGGCCCAGACUCCGACGGGAGGCAGCAGUUGGGAGUACUGCACAAUGGGGGAGAGCCGGAUGCUGGGACGCCGCGGGGGGGAUGACGGCCUUCGGGUUGUAAACCGCUUUAAGCAAGGAAGCGGUACUUGCAGAAGAAGCGCCGGCUAACUACGUGCCAGCCGCCGCGGUAAUAC